ensembl:snRNA U6 U6 spliceosomal RNA
GUGCUCACUUCGGCAGCACGUAAUACUAAAAUUGGAACGACACAGAGAAGAUUGGCAUGACCCCUGUGCAAGGAUGACAUGCAAAUUCGGGAAGCAUUCCACAUUUUG